UUUUCAAGUCCCAUGCAGGGUUACCAACUGUCCCGCAUUAGUCAGGACAUCCCGUAUAUUAGGCUAAAUUGAUUUGUCCCAUAAGGGAUCACCCUUGUCCCGUAUUUGACUGCUACUACUUGGGUCGAGGGGACUGUCGGUUCGGAGCUCCGCGUCCGGCACCA